GACGAACGCUGGCGGCGUGCUUAACACAUGCAAGUCGAACGAGUGGCGAACGGGUGAGUAAUACGUGAGUAACCUGCCCUCUGUUUGGGAUAAGCCUUGGAAACGGGGUCUAAUACCGGAUAAAGGGGGAUGGGCUCGCGGCCUAGCAGCUUGUUGGUGGGGGGAUGGCCUACCAAGGCGGUGACGGGUAGCCGGCCUGAGAGGGGGACCGUCCACAUUGGGACUGAGCUCCGGCCCAGACUCCUACGGGAGGCCGCAGUGGGGGAUAUUGCAGGAUGGGCGAAAGCCUGAUGCAGCGACGCCGCGUGGGGGAUGAAGGCUUUCGGGUUGUAAACCUCUUUCGCUAUCGAAGGGGUAGGUGGAGAAGAAGCGCCGGCUAACUACGUGCCAGCAGCCGCGGUAAUAC
rnacentral:rRNA from 1 species